rnacentral:rRNA from 1 species
GACGGAGGGUGCAAGCGUUGCUCGGAAUCACUGGGCGUAAAGGGCGCGUAGGCGGCCAUUCAAGUCGGAGGUGAAAGCCCAGGGCUCAACCCUGGAAUUGCCUUCGAUACUGUCUGGCUAGAGACCGGAAGAGGUAAGUGGAACUGCGAGUGUAGAGGUGAAAUUCGUAGAUAUUCGCAAGAACACCAGUGGCGAAGGCGGCUUACUGGUCCGGUUCUGACGCUGAGGCGCGAAAGCGUGGGGAGCAAACAGG